GCAACAGGUGGUGGUGAUUUGGCGGAAAUAAUUGAAAAAGCAGUAGCUGCUGGUGUUAAAGCAGCUCUGCAAGGUCAGAUCACGCCAACGUCGAGUGCACCUACAAUGUCAUAGAUGACAUCAGCAGCGACUUCAAUCGCAGUGACCACACCACUGAGAUUGAUGACCUCAGAAGGGACUUCAACCGCAGCGACCACAGCACUGAG